UAGGGAAUCUUCGGCAAUGGACGGAAGUCUGACCGAGCAACGCCGCGUGAGUGAAGAAGGUUUUCGGAUCGUAAAGCUCUGUUGUAAGAGAAGAACGAGUGUGAGAGCGGAAAGUUCACACUGUGACGGUAUCUUGCCAGAAAGGGACGGCUAACUACGUGCCAGCAGCCGCGGUAAUACGUAGGUGGCAAGCGUUGUCCGGAAUUAUUGGGCGUAAAGCGCGCGCAGGUGGUUUAAUAAGUCUGAUGUGAAAGCCCACGGCUCAACCGUGGAGGGUCAUUGGAAACUGUUAAACUUGAGUGCAGGAGAGAAAAGUGGAAUUCCUAGUGUAGCGGUGAAAUGCGUAGAGAUUAGGAGGAACACCAGUGGCGAAGGCGGCUUUUUGGCCUGUAACUGACACUGAGGCGCGAAAGCGUGGGGAGCAAACAGGAUUAGAUACCCUGGUAGUCCACGCCGUAAACGAUGAGUGCUAAGUGUUGGUCUCAUAAGAGAUCAGUGCUGCAGCUAACGCAUUAAGCACUCCGCCUGGGGAGUACGACCGCAAGGUU
rnacentral:rRNA from 1 species